CAUUACGCCCAGUUCGGGGGGGCUUGGAGGACUGGGAGGUAUUAUUGAUUGGUGGAAGGCUUUGUGGUGGCUCUCAACAGGAGUGCACGUUGGUGGCUUUUAUCCAAUACCACUGUGAACCUUUGGCUCUUGCUAGCUUCGGGUGGUUAGGAUUUUUAUACUCUCGCCAAUGGAACGAAAAAUAUUGUCGUGCGAAAGACCUAAGGUAUAACUUUCCCCGCCUAUUUCUUGCCUCUCGGAUGGGUGAAGAAAGCACCGAAAUGGGAUAAGCAAAGUGAAUUGCUGUUUGAGUGAAUCAUUCAAGCUUUUAAAGCCCUGACACCCCUUGGCAUUCGGAAGGGGUGCGCGUUGAUGUCCUUGUAGUCUCACCCUAUCUGAUCAUUGUUUCGGGGAGCGCCGGACUGGGAGUAUGCUGCUUUCCUUGGGGCUCCCCUCAAAUGGCCGAAGCACCUCCAGGUUGGACCUAUCCCGAAACAUAGGUGCCCCCGCCUGCCCUCGGAAUGGGCGGCCGAACUGGGAGCUCUGUGCUUUCAGACCACUUCGGACGAUCUCUGACAAUUUGACCUCCAUCCAGUAGGACUACCCCGCUGAACUUACGCAUAUCAAUAAGCGGAGGAAAUACACCCUCCACCCGGGGAAGGACUACCCCGCUCAAAUUAGGCGAUAUAAAUAAGGCGCAGGAA
rnacentral:sRNA from 1 species